rnacentral:rRNA from 1 species
GCAACCAUAACGGAGGGGAAACACCCGAUCCCAUUCCGAACUCGGAAGUUAAGCCCUCCAGUGCCGAUGGUACUGCGUGGGUAACUGCGUGGGAGAGUAGGUCGUUGCCGGGU